ensembl:lncRNA
CCUGGAGCGGGGAGCUGCGUGCCGCAAGUUUUGCCCGGAGUGCCAAAGUUGGGCUCAGCCCAGGUUCCUGGAAACUUGAGGAGCAAUCUUCUGUGCCUGAAGAAUGCAGUUCUCACCGGAUGUGUGUAUCCUACAUGAAGGGGAACAGAAGCAGGAUCAGCUGGGGUCCAGGAAAGACAACUUCAGGAGAUUUGAGAGCACUCUGGAGUGAACCAGGAGGAAGCCUUGAACUACAAUUGUGUCAAUAAGAGUGGCUGUCCUUGGGAGAUGCUGAAGCUCAGCUUUAUCAUGAACUUUUCUUACACCCCUCAACAUAUGCACAAAGGACUUAAUUUUGUUUGGGAUUCAUGUGGUAUGAAAGAGUCAUGGCUGUAUGGGUUUCUUCCUCCCUUCACUUGAUGUCUGUAUGUUUCCUGCAGUCAGUAAUGAAGUCUGUACAAGGUCUGCUGACAUUUGGUUUGCUUUCAAGAGCUCUGAGUGACAGGUACUGUAAACAUCCUACACUCUCAGCUGUGGAAACUAAGAAAGCUGGGAGAAGGCUGUUUACUCUCCCUGGCUUGGAAAUCAUCUGGAGGGCGAGGAUGGAACGUUGUGAGCUCUGUGUUCAUUGUAUUUCUGACAGCCUGUACUUCUUAUUUUAUGUUUGGUGUCAGUAAACAAAUAAUAGCAUUAUAUCAUGCCAUCAAGCUCUUGAGUUCUGACUGAGGCUUGAACUCAUAAUAAUAAUUUUAAAAAAGGGCCUUUUGUACAAUACACUUAGCUGCAGUCCUGGCUUUAGGGAAACGCAAAUGGUAGCAGUAACACACAACAAGACCUUCAUCCUUAAAUACUGGGUAAAACAGACCUAUUUUACUGUUUGUUACAAGUUAGUGUGCAUGUUUUCAGGUCCACACAUCAGUGGUGUCUUUUGUUAAAGUCCUCCUUAAAUGUUUGGGUCUUGUGUUCACUCAAUUUAUGUUUUCCUACCUAGAGAGACUAGAAACAGAUGUCUGAAGGCAAAAAAAGGGUUCUCGGGGACUUCAAGUUUCAGUUCCUAUUUGAAGAAAUUGAGAUAUCAACCCCAGGUAGCUCUGUUUUUGAAUAAACUAAAUUAAAGAUGCAAAAGUAUUUAGCUUGGGUUUUAUACUAGCUCUUCUCUGCCACCUGCCAUCCAGACUGAAUUAUUGUUUGUACUUUUCUUGGCAAUCUUUCUUCUUUCUCUCGUUUCUAUUUCCCAUUAGUUAAGUAGGGCUUCUCAUUUUAAAUGUAGAAUAAUUUUUUACUUUCAUUUUAAAUCCAAAAUCGUACUGGCAUGGACUAAAUCCUCAUAAAAUGUACUUUUACAGCUAUUCUUAAGCAGUGAUGUUGGCAGAAAUGCUAUUAUUCAUGCACUUUCUUUUUUUAAAUUUAUUGGAGGGAGCCAUCUUUUGUGCUUUCAAAGAAUUUCUUCGUAAUUCAGUUAAGUGCAAAGAUAACCUUUUCUCUAUCGUCAUAUUUAAAGAUCUGCUGCUUUAGACUUUUAGCAAAAGUAUUUAAACAAAAAAGCUCUGAUAUAAGAAAUGUCCUAAAGAUUUUAAGUAAUUGGAUUUGGGAAGUGAUGGAAGUGGAAAGAGAACAGCAGAAUGGUAGAUCUUGUAAGGUUGUGAAAUAGUACUUCUGCAAAGUGGUCAAAAAAGGGAAUUCAAACAGGCAGAUCUUUAAAGAAAAGAGGGUGGGAAAAGUCCGUGUUCUGAAGCAGUAAUUAUUUAGGAAAAGGAAGUGGAGGGAAAGAAAGUCCUGGGGUCCAGUAAAGUACCAUAGACAGGGUUUAAGAUGAUGAGAUGAGGUCUGGCUUUACAUAAACCUGAAGAACUGGUGUUCAUGAGGUUUUGACUCUUGAUAUGUACAGUGAUACUACAAGUGAGGUUAGUCUUAUAAAAAGAUGGUUUUAUGGAGAAAUGAGUUGUUCAGACUAGUAAAACGAUAGAGGGUAGCAUUUCCUAACACACGUGGUUCCCUCGGCAGAGAGAUAUCUCCAACAGUGAUGGAGCACAGAAUUCUAUCCUCCAUCCUAUGAUAAUUCUGAUUGUAGGCUGUGCUGUUGAGAACACAGUUUCUUGAAAGGAGACGUCAGCUUUAAUAUGUGUUUUACUGUCUUUUUUGUUUUUAAUAUAGAUUUGCUUUAGGCUAGGAACCGCUGUUUUCUGUCAGAUGGAAAAAUCUAUGUUUAGCAUUAUCUAUUUGCUGUCUAAUGGUGAAAUUCCAGCUUUCGUUUUAUCUGUGUAAGUUGGGACUGUUGAAGCUUUUCUCAUACGUUUUUCCUUGGCCAUUCUUUCCUGUGGUUUCACUUGUGCUGGUAUUAAUGUUUGUUUAAACAGUGAGCUUACAGUGGCUCGACUCAGCUGAAAAUUAAACAAGCAAACCAGCUUUUAUCUGGACCAGAUGAGUAAGAGCUUACUGCACUACCAUGGUGCUGUGGCCAAAAUGCUGAUACCUUCAAACAUGUCCACCUUUCUGAAGGGCUAGAACAGAUUUUGCUGUAAAUAAGACCAUCGAAUCCUAAUGCAAUGAGAGAGUGAAAACACAGGAUUUUGAAUGCUCUUGUAUUUGGCAGUAGAUUGUUCUGUUGAUGCUGUUUGAAAGCAAUUGCCAGCAUAGUGCUGAAAUAAAUUUGGAUUAAAUUAUCAUGAUUAAAACUUUUGAUUUCUUGACAGCUAUUUAUGCUUCUGUGUCUUUGAAAGAUUUGUUUAUAAAGUGUAAUAAACAAAUUGUGUUGGUAAUGAGGAGCUACCAGUAAUUUUGCUGCCUCCAGAUCUUUAACUGUAAAGGUAUCUUUGGAUAUAUUUGCACCAGACAAAGCAUUGUGUAAAUUGCAUUAUUUCUAGGUCAUGUUUCGGUCUUUUUCUGUAAGUAUCACUUACCAAGCCAAAGGCAAGCUGAACAUUCUUUUCUUGUGCAAAACUCAGAUUUCAAGGAGUUUAAGACUUUCCAAUCAACUAAACAUAGAACUUUCCUAUUGUGAAAAAACAUACUCAGCUUUUUCAAAACUGUUGCCAAUAAUGAGUUUUGGGUUGGGUCCUUAGGUAAUCUGGAGAGCUACCGCAGCAAAUUGUCUGUGGGAAAUCUGUGAUUGGAGGCAUGGGCAAAAUCUGUGAUUGUAGGCAUGGGCCUUUUGCUGGUUUUUUUUUUUUUUCUUAAUGAGUGUUCUGCUAAGAUGCAAAAGUGACUUACUCUGUGUGAUUCUUGGCACUGCUCAGGACGGUGUCAUUCUUGUGUGCUAAGCUCAACGUGUUCCUUGGAUUGGCUGAUUGACUUUUAAAUGAGGAAGAAGACAUCUUACUAAUUAACCUUUUCCUUACUGCUAAGCAUUAAAGUGUAGGGGGUGAAAAUUACAGUACUCAAAUUUAAUAUAUAUGCUUCACACACGUGAAGCAUAUAUAUUUUUUUCUAGGCUACAUUUUUGAUUAUGUAGCCCCUAGAAGUAAUUACCUAAUAUCCAGUUUUGGUAGUGUAGGGAGUGACUGUGGGAAGAAAGAGUGCUUGGGAGUCCUUGGGCAAAGCUGUCUCUUGUUUGAAGAUUGCAGCCUGACCUUGGGUUUUACAAGUGGAAUAUUAGAGAAACAUUGCAUUAGAAGUUUCAAAGAGCUGCCAGUGGGGGAAAAGGGAGGUGAAGGAGAAAGAGAGGAAGAGAUGUGGGUUACUUGUCAUACAAAGGGGGGGGGAUAAUAUCCAGCUCAUUUUCAGUGCAAAUGAUUUCUUGAUAAUACAACAAAAGAGCAACAAUUGUCCUUGAUGCUUAUACAAAAGUUGAGGAUUUCUUUUAUGCAGUAAAUCUGACUGUCAGGGACUCUAAUUCAGUGUGUGAGAAUUGAAAGGUUUGUGACAAGCUAUUGUACUUUGAAGACCUCUAUUUUAAAAUCAAAGAAAAAGAUUGCUUUGAAUGAGAGAGUGGAAGAAUAAGGCAUUAUAUGGGCUUCAGUUACAACUGCCCCUGAAAUUAGUGGAUUCUAGACUUGAAUAUUUUCUGAGCUGUGAUGGAGAUAAACAUGUAGAAGCAACUCUCUGUGUACAAAAAAUAAACAGGUGUAACAUCUAUAAUAUAUUUGGAAUGUGUAAUAGCAUUAGUUAUUUAUUAGUUAUAUAUAUAUAUAUAUAUUAGUUGUUAUAAUAUAGUUUGGAAUGUGUAAUAGCAAAGUCAACUUAGUUAAAUUUAAAACAGAGCAAACACCUUGGCUUCACUUCAUGCUUUCUUCAAACUUAGGUUUUGUUCUUUGUGCACCUUCCUGGAUGCUUUUUUUUCCUCUUAGAAAAGCACUUUACUAAACAGAAUGCUGAAGCUUCUUUUAUUCUUGUGUGCAACUUUGCUUCUUGUCAGCUCUGGGCUCUAUCCAAGACCCACUCAGCUACAGGUAGGCUUUUGUUCCCUUAUUUUGCUUUGGUUUUGUGGAUGUUAGUGUGAAUUAAAUGGAAAUAAGCUUUUGUAGCAAUUGCUUUGUGUAACGAGCAACAGUUAAACUAAUCACUGCAGUCUAUGUCUAUGAAGUGUCUCAGAAGAGAAGCUUAGGGCUUGCUUCUUUUAAAUAGUGUAUUAUGAUGGCUAAUUGCAUCUUAUCUAAUUCUUCAAGAGGGAGAGUAGAGUGAGGCUGUGUUGCCUUAGCUUUACAACACUUAACUCCCCUCCACAGGAGGAAAUAGUUCUGUUCCUGCUGCAGUUAAUGGGAAAUUCUUGUUGCUGCCUCUAUCCUGUUCUUGAGGUGCUGAAAUAAUAUGGCAGAGCAAGAGACUGUGAUCCUGGCUUUGGAGAGAACCUUUGCACUUCAUUUUCUCUUUUGUGAAAGAAAAUGAUGCUUUCUCACAAGGCGGGGUAUGGUAAACAAACAGAAAUCUCUUUUUGUGCUGAAACAUGUUGCCUAAAAUCGUAUCACUGUGUCCUAGUUUAUCUUGUUAUGUUCCAGUCUUUCACUAUGGUCUAGAGAGAUUGCAGUGCUUGGUUGUAUUACUGGAAAAGAACAAAGGACCUGACACAGGGUUAUCAUAUGUGUUGCUAAAAGUUCCUUCUUGUGCUGCUGGCAUGUUAACCUCCCACCAUGUCCAUGUUGGUGUGCAGCUCCUCUUCUAGGAGCGUGCUGGGGCGGUGCUUCAUCAAUUGCAGCACAAACGUCAGCUAUAAGCUAGCCUCUCCACCACUUGCUGACACCCUAGGCGUGCUCUUAGAUUGGGGUAGGGUUCAGGCCACCCCACUGCAUUAUUGAGGUCAGCAGGGCUAAAUCAACACUGUCGCCAGCUGAGGACUUCUGGGCUUUGUGUCAUUUAAGGCCAUCCUCGAGUUGUUUCUCAGCAUCCUGAAGCACCACCGAAAAAAUGCUGCUAAAACAACUCCAGUUGGGCACCAGUGGGGCAGUGGUGUUGAUGCAGACAAAUGAAAUAACUUAAGGAUCUGCGAAGUUCCUGUUCUUUAGAUGCCUCAAUGUAACUAUAAACUCCAUGAAUAGUUGAGCUUUGUGCAACUUGUCCAGCUUGCAGAUGUUUUUGGCGACGAUGUUUGGAGGCUGUAAUCUCAUGCUUAGUUGGUGCAGUACAGUUGAAAUGCACACAGCGAUAGAUUUUCCUUCUCCUUAGUGCUUUCCACGCUCACUGCUUUGACAGUAAUGGAGCUUCUAAUUAAGAUCUCGCAGCUUCAAUUCGUGCAAUUGAUGAAAUGUUCCAAUAUGCUCUAUGUGCAGAUUGCAUAGAAGGGCAGAUCAAAUCUAAAUGGAAACAGAGAAGGUUUUAUCACCUUGGGGUAAUUGCAUGUAGCGUGCAGCCGUUGAAAUUAGAUGUGACAAAAGCGGUUGUCUCUGUUGUCACUCAGAGCAGCUGUGGGUCACGGGGCACAGGUCUGUGAAAGCAGGGGUGACCAGGCCUGUCUGCUCCUUGACAAACAGUCUGAACUGUGUGCUCACAGUAGUGCUUGCUGUGUUUGUGUCCAGAAGCCUGUCAAGCUGACUUCUAGGGACCCUGGCCCUUCUUAUUCCCAUUAUAGUGCCCCUUGGUCCCCAGAAAGGGGCUUUCCUUUGGGGUGCUCAGCUCUUGCUUUGCUGUUUAAACAUCAGCCUUAUUUUAUGAUAGUUCUUGCUGAAGUUUGCACACUAUCUGAAAGCUUUAGCAAGUAUCCAAACCAAGGAUACUUGGUGGGAGUUGAACCCUAUUGCUGAUGCGAAUCUCUUUUCUGCUCUUUCCAGUGGCAAGCUUUAUUCUGCCAAUGUGUUCUUACCUAUGGUUUACCCAAUGUUUGUCUUUCCUGCAGAGCUGUGUGCCUGUUUGUCUAAAUGCUCCUCAGUGAGGCUUUGUUGCUCUCCAGCUCAGAGCCGGUUAGAGCUGUGGAACCGACCGCAGCCUGGGCCUGUACUGUGGUAGGAAGGGAGCACAGCUAAACUCUUGAGGACAAAAGACAAUGAAUGGACAGUAUAUAGUAAGGUUUUUUGUGAGCUGCUCAGCUCUUCCAAGUGGGGGAGGAAAAGGAUCAAAAGUGAGGAAUAUUAAAGACAAAUUGAAGCUGAUGUUUGAACUACCAGUCCAGGAAACUCCAGAUACAAACUGAAUGGAAAGUUUUCCUCUGAAGUCUACAAAGAAUUUUCAAGGACAAAUCUGAAUGGAGAACAGCAAGGAUUUUCAUCUUUGUGUACUGGAACGAAGUAGUCACUGGCAGCUGGAAAAGAAACUUCAGAUUCUUGGCAGUAAACAAAAAAAAAAGGGUCCAGCUCAGAGGCUGGGGCUGAGUAGAUUUAAAGGCUUUGAGGGGCAAAUCUAAUGGUUUGGGUACAUACAAUAGAACACAUUUAUGAAAAUGAUGACGUGGGAAAUGAAAUGUAUUAGUUAGGGCUUCAAAAUACGUAUACCUGCAUUUGGGUUCUGUGAGUACAUUUUCAGGCUGGAACAAUGCCUGAAAAUAUCUCAAACACAUUGCUUGCGCUUCAGGUUGCAGUCUGUCACUUAACUUUAAAAGAGUCAUGGAUGAUGUGCUCUGAGGUUUACAGAGAGCAAAAUCCUGGUAGGGCAGGUGUUAGGGAUGGACUCGUGCGUCCUUGAAGUGCUCCCCUCCCGCUGCAUCCCUUCCUGAACUUCUAAGGAACUCCACAAGCCUGGAUCCAUUUCAGUUCAGAUUCACCUGAAAUAAAGGUGAAUGUAUAUAGCCGUCGCCAGCAGGGUGAGGUCGUCUGCCUUAGCUUUCUAGGGUGGUUUUUAAUGUCUGAAUUUGGACUGAGACAUCAGAAGAGAUGUGCAAGGGAAGAAAGAUUCAUUUUAUUUCAAGCAGGAACAUGGACGUUUUUGUUAAUUGUCUUCUAGGACUUAACCUAUACACGACCUCAUUCUGGGAAACGUGCUCAAAUAGAACAGAAGUUUUCAAAAAAUCAUUUUAUUUUGGAUUUUUUUUAAUUGUAUUUUAAAUUUACAACCAGUUUUAAUAGUAACACACAGGUUUCAGGCAUAGACAAGUACUUCACAUUUUAGUGAAAACAAAACCCUUUUGUGGAAAUAUUCUCUACUUGAAUGAGCUGUUGGGAACUGCAGUUGGAUCCAGACUGGUAUUUGCCCGUGGACAGUGGAGGUGAAUCUGCAGCACAGGCUCAGGAACUCAGGUGGGAUAUGGGAGGCUGAGCUGUAUGUCUCUGUUCUGCCUCGUUCCCCAAGGAAAGCAGUUCUUGAGAUCUUGACAUCUUUUAACAAACAAGAAAAAACACCAGCCUGUGUGUGCUGCCCAUCCACUCUAACUUCCCAUAUUCUUUUAUUCUGACAGACUUCACUCCAUUGCUUGUUCAUGGACAAGGCAAUAGUGUUAUACUUGGAAGGCUUUGACAUACAGCCUCCUCGAAAGUGUAUUUUCUGAACUGAAUCCUCUUACUCUCAUUUCUGAAGUAGAAGCAUCCAGUUAUGCUUGGGAUACUAUUUUUUUGUGUGUGUGCAAAGGGUUGUGGUAGAAAAGAGGAAUAAGAGCUGACCGUACACAGAAAAGAAAGUAGGAAGGCGAGUAGAAAGUAGGAAAGUAGAAAGUUGAGGAGAAUUUUUUGAGAGAGCCAAAAGAACCAACUUAAUCCCAGCUGAUGCUGUCGGCCCUAUGGAGAUCAACAUUCAACAGCCAGGGCUGCCCUGUUCUGUGGCUGUGUACUGCUAUUGGUCUGCAGCUCCUGCUCCGAGGAGCUCGUCUGAUCCCACUGGGGGGAGUUCAGUACCAACUCUCAGCUGAUGUUCCAUGCCUUGGGUUUUGUAGCUGUGGUGGUUGAAAUCUGCCAACAGCAGAGCACUACACAGCUGUGCACUUGUGUUCAGAUUAAAAAAAAAUUACUUACUAAGACCAAAAAGGAAGAGAAAAGGAAAAUAGUACUGAUAAUAACGUAUAUUUGUAAAAUAAGUGAUGCAUAAUGCAAUUGCUGACUGAUGCCCUGAGCAGUGUCUGCCUCCCCUGGCCAGCUCCUGUCUCCAUGGUGUCACAAGGUAUGGAAUAUCCCUUUGGGCAAAUUAGGUCAGCUCUCCUGCCAGUGUCCCCUCCCAGCUCCUUGUGGCUUGCUGGCAGGACAGUAUGAGAACCUGAAACGUCCUUGGCUCUGCAGAGCAACAACUAAAACAUUGGUGUGUUAUUAACACUGCUUUUAUCCUAAAUCCAAAAUGUAGUAUCGUAUCAGACAACGUGGGUAAAAAAAAAAAAAAAAUCAACCAGCUGAAACAGGACAGGAGCCAAGGAACUAAAUGAUGGAAAAGAAUAGGGUGAAGGAGGUGGAUGUCCAGGCAGACAGUUCUAGAAACAGGCCCAUGGAAAGGCUUAUCUGAAGCAAUCUGAGAAUGGCUUGAGUAGAGAGAAGGCUUGGGAAAUGAAGAAAACAUUGUCCAACAGGAAGAGCAGGAGGAGCUGCUGGAGGUGAUGUGCAGCUCCCUGAGUGAGGAGUCCCCACAGUGCCUGCGCAAAAGGAUUUCAGUGCUGAUGCUGUUCUGGUACAGCAAAAGUUUGCUUUUCUUCUUUGCCACUCUGUGCAGAGAAAAAGCAAUCUAAGAUCCAGAGAAUUAAAAGAAAUCAAAUGUUUUCCUCAGUUUUCUUCAGGGCCCUUCAAGGGGGAGGACAGGUAGUAUGGCACCCCAUGCCACCCCUUCUGCCUGCACUGUGGCUGUAUGCCAGUGCAGGGUGUGUCCUUUUGGUUCCAUUGCAGUACACUGCCUCCAGGUAAAACUGAGAAUAAUUGGAGAUAAUGAUAUAGUAGUAACAACUAAAUCUUCUUGCAGUCCCAAGCACAGGUUGGGUGGAGAAUCGUCUGAGGUCAGCCCUGAGGAGAAGGAUUUGGGAGUGUUAGUUGAUGAAAGAUUCAACGUGAGCUGGAAAUGUGCACUUGCAGCCCAGAAGGCCAACUGUAUCCUGGGCUGCAUCAAGAGAAGUGUGACCGGCAGGUCGAGGGAGGGGAUUCUGCCCUUCUACUCUGCUCUCACAAGACCCCACCUGGAUUGGUAUUGCAUCCAGUUCUGGGGACCCCAACACAAGAAGGACAUGGAGUUGUUGGAGCACCUUGGAGCACCUCCUCUAUGAGGACAGGCUGAGAGAGCUGGGGCUCUUCAGCCUGGAGAAGGGAAGGCUCCAGGAGGACCUUAUAGCAGCCUUCCAGUACCUGAAGGGGUCUACAGGAAAGCAGGGAAGGGACUUUUUAUAAGGAUAUGUAGUGACAGAAUGAGGGGAAAUGGAUUUAAACUGGAAGGGGGUAGAUUUAGACUAGAUAUCAGGAAGAAAUUCUUACUGUAGGGAUGGUGAGAUGCUGGAACAAGUUGCCGUGUUUUCUAAUUCAGGACUAUGUUGCUGGAAAAGCAGAAGUGAUUUUUCUGCUUUAGAUCAAUGUGAAUGCUGUAUUCUGCUUAAUCUCCCUGUUCAUUUGGGAUUCAGGCCAUAGUUAAGGCGGUCUGAAGUGUUUUUGCAGCUAGCUAGUCCAUAAAGUACAGCACAUUUGGCCUAUUUUUGGAGGUUCUUUGAGGCAGAGAUGUUUACAACGGUUGCAUAAUGGACAGGACUUCUUUUGUAAAAAUCCUCCUCGUGUGCCAGCAUCUGGUUUCUGCAAUCUCACUGCUAAUCAGCCUGGAGGUUUUAGAAACUUUCCUUUUAUUUUAUUUUUUGGGUUUUAUUUUUUUGCCUGUCAUGUUCCCUGCUGUUGGAGGUGGGGAGAGGUGAGGCCUUCAGACCUGGCAGUAGCACAAAGCUGCUGCUUGCAUUUUUAGAGCUCUGGCCCUAAGCAGUCCAGCUGACAGAGGCCUGCUAUGUUUGCAUUUUGCAUUUUGCUGGCACUUUUCAAGUUAUUCUUGUCACCCUCUGAAUACCCUCUUUGCCCCACUGUAUUCUAGAGGGCAUGUUAGAAAAGCAGCACCAAAGGAUGAGAUGAUAAAGUCAGACCAUCUUAGAUGGCUUUCUGUGGAAGGCACUGGGACCCCAUGUCCCUUUGGUACAGGAAAGGGAAAUCUUUUAUUUGAAGAAGGCUGCAGAGAGUUUUAAAUACUAGAGCUUUGGGGAGAGCCUAUUUCACAUUUUCAUUUUGAUUAAAUUUAGCAUUGCUCAUUUUUCUGUCAAAAUUUAUAUGUUUAGGCAAUGAAUUUGAUACGCUCAGGAGAUGUGGAUCAUUUCACUUUCUGUGGUUCUUAUAAUGAAGGGUCAGGAGGAGGCAAGGCUUGGUAGCUGGCAGUACAGGGAAGUCCUGGCUUGUCUGGCACUGCAGCAUCCCAUCCAUCUGCCCAGGAUUUCUGUCUGUGUUCAGCUCAGUUAAGCAACGUGAUGGUGUUGAUUUCUGUCUGCAACAGAGGGGAUUGCGCUGGGCAGGUAUUUUGUAUUGUGCCGUCCUGCUGGGUUUUUUUUCAGUUGCUCUUUCAGAAGCUCCGAGCUCUUGCCCAGGAUAAACAACCACACUGUGCUGCUGAGUACUGUGCUUGGAACCUUCACACCCAAAUGCAGUCGUUCUAAGGAACAGCUUUGCUCUGUGGACAGACUCCUUCCUUCUGUGAGUAACAGGGUGGAUAGAGAGACAGAUUAACCUUGCACUAUACUAAAGCAACUGUAGGAACAACAAAAUGAGUGUUCACAGCUCAGGAAAAUCUGGAAUUUCAAAUAAACCCACUGCAUUGACCCAGGCACAGUUUGGCAGUUGUUGCUACAGGGUGUUCAAAUUAAACAAUGAGGUUCCUGGUGUGAUGGAAAAGACUUUGCAAAGCACAUUGGUUCCUCCAGGAUCCAAAUGCACUUUCCCUUUCCAAGGGGAGCUGUGGGCAUUUGGAUCCUUGCAGAGAAGUUCCUGAGGCCCUCUAUCAGCAAAACACUUUUAAGCAUGUCCUUAAGCACUUUGUUGAUGAAGGGGAGACAUGAACUCUUAAUUAUCUGUGCUGAAUAAUAAUCUGAGAGGUUACUUGAGUAUCUUUUCUAACACUUAUACUCUAGCUCUGCCCCAAAAGGCUGAGCCCAAGAGGCCAGUGCUUUACCCUCCGGCUGCAUUUGCCUUCUGUGAACGCGCUCACUAGCCUUCAAGUAAAUGGGGCCGAUAUCUGUCUCUCUGUAGGAAUUUUGCCUGUCCUGAGUGCUUACCAGCUUAGAAGAAUAGACAUUGUGCCUUAUUCAGCUUUAACGGGAGCAGUGUCCAUCUUAUCCAAAUACCGCCGAGUGGGGGGUUAUUAAAUCAUCUGAAGGAAAAAUGAAGAAUGAAGCUAGAAGGGGAUCUGGCUUUCCCUUUCACAUGCUCACAUCUGUAGCAGAAGUGUUGGUGGAUGCCUCAGCCCUACGGCACAGCUGGCACUUUGGAGCCCUUCAUGGGAGGCAAAGAAAGAAAGAAAAGAAACACCCCCAUUCCCCCACCAAAGCAGCGAGUGAUUGCAGCUGUUCUCGAGAAGGGUUGUGUCAGCACAACGUGCAUAGCCCUACUCAGAAAGUUGGUGUCAGCAGCCGUAAAAGCUGGCCUGUCAGCAUUUCUGUUGUAUUUCAUACACAAGAUGCAUGUUACUGAACAAUUACACCGAAGGCGGAGAAUAUUCCUUGGGAACACAACUUGGAAGUAGCAUCUUCCUGUGGGAACAGUUCAGACUGUGUGCUGCAGAAACCUGAGUGGUUUGGAUGCAAGGCCUUGCUGCUGGGGCUCACUGCAAGCUGUGUGGGCUGCCAAAGCCAUAGUGCCACAGCCCAGCCGGGAGCCUCAGCCCAUGUAAUUAGUCAGGUCCUGGUAAUUCUAAUGAGCUUCUGAUCAUGCCAACACAUUCAGUGUGAGGGAAGCUGGGUGAUGCUUAAGUUUUUGGCCUCCGAAGCCUUCGGAGGGUAUAUAUAACUCUAGCUUUGUCUACCGGUCUCAAUGUGUCAUUGUGCUGUAGCCACUUUAAAGGGCAGGAUGGAGAGCUGGGAUGGAGUUCUCAUCUCUGCUUACUGGGAAGCAGAAAUUAAUUAAGGAAAAAGCAAAAACCAAACCCAAAGCAAGCAAAAAGUCAUGCUCAGAGUAGUUAAGGAAGCAGGAGGAAAGGAGCAUAAAAUCCCCAGGCACUCGCUGUUGAUUUGAUCUCUAUCUGUGUACAGGAGCCUGACUAAUUAAUUACAUGUGGCUCCAAGUCUGUUUUCUGGAUCUCUUGCAGACCUCUGGAUGCUGCAGUGAUCCCAGUCGGCACAGAAGCUGCUAUGAUGCUGAGAUGUGUCUUACCACGUGUUGCCCACCUCCCAGCAUAGAGCUGCACAGAGCAGCAGGAUGCAUGAGGCUCUCCCUCCUCAACAGCCCUCAGUGGUGCUCCUAUGGGUUUGGGUGCUCGUGUGAGGCAGUGAGAGGAGUAUGAGGAGUGCUGCGUUCUGCUGGGUUACUGGUGCUGGGCAGAAACUUCAGCCCUAGGGGGGUGUAAGGCCUCAACAUUACUUUAUAGUAUAUGUACAUCUAGGAAACAAGGAACUACCACUAAUAACAGCAAAGUCUGUACCAAGAGCUCUGCAGCAGACAUCUGACCACAGCCGAAGCCACAUUUAAAGCAAGGCAGUGUCUCUGUAAGAGCUAACAUCAGUAUAACAAAGUGAUGCCAGAGGGAACAAGUUAGGAGAAAUGUUUCCAUGGAGUGGUAGUUGGUUUCUUUUCUCUUCCCCCCCGCACCCCUCUCUCCUUUCUUUUCCUUACAUCUUCCUAUUAUUUUUUUCAUCUUCAAUUCGUACUUAAACCUUUCCAACCUUUCUGAGAGUCAGGAGAAUGGUUCUGAGAGUCAGGAGCCCCUCAGAAAAGGUCAGACAACCCAAGUGCACGGCAUUCUGGCUUUCCCAUGGGCCUUCCAGUAGUAUGGCACUCAGUCAAAGCAAACAUGAAUUUUAUCUGUCAGAAGCAAGCUUUAAAGCUCGGUGAUGUGUCUAUAGCUUAAGGUACUUUUACUUUUUUGUGUUGUACAGGUUUUAUUUCUCUCCAUUAAACAUAAGCAGUCUUUUGUUUUCCUUCAUGAACCUGGUCAUUUUUCUAUACGUUUCGAUGAGAAUUGCAUUGGGCUUCUCCCUGCCUUUCGUAGGGCAGCAUUGAUCUUUUUCCAUUUUGGAGAGAGCUGAAUAGAUGGCUAUGUCUAACGAGAGGAGCUUAUCCUUUGUGUUUACAGUUCAUUUCAGGAUAUCUUUCAGUAUGACUGAUCUAUAAAUGCUAAUUGUGGGUGAGGCACGUGGUAGGGGGACUUCUGCAGUCUUGCAGUUUAUGUAUAGGCAAUGCAUAUUGCUCUUCCUAAGGUUAAUAACAGAACUGAUUUUUGUGUGUUGCUCUUCUGAGAGCAACUCAAUCAUUAAUUUUUAGGCAUACGUGCAGGCAGAAUCCUGUUCAUCUCACAAAAUACAAAUAAAUGCUCUGAGGGCUAACUGCAGGAGUUUCUGUAUAAGCUAAAGCUUAACUCUGUAGGACACCACCCCAUCCCCCACCCAGGAACUGAGCGGAUCAUCACGCCCAGCGUUUGUUUUCAACACCACCUUUGUGAAAGCACCUCAGCACAUCUGACUUGCAGGUUGCCUUCUCCCAUGUAGGCUCAUGGUGUCUCACGCUGCCCAGUUAGAGUGCUGGGUACCGUGGGGUUUUCACGACCUUCCUCAUCUGUCUGCAUGUCCUCCCUCGAGUUAUCUGGAAGCUGAGAUGUCUUCUCCACUGGUGUCCUUGAAGUGGGUUAAACUGGAGGACGGAAGCUCCCGAGAGUUUCUAAUGCUGUGGUCUUCCGACAACUCAAAUGAUUUUGGUGACUCAUAAGGAGACACAAAGGCCACCUUUUUCUCUGACUGUGAAAAUCAGAUGGCAAAACCCAACAAAUUAGGCCUGAAAGAACAGAAAAACCUCUCUUUGGUUGCCUGGGAGGGAGGAAAGGAUGGGGAUCAAUGGAUUCACUACAAAAGCAGUCACAAAGUUUCCUUUCUGUCCUGUCAUCCGUAGUGUCUUCAAAAACACUUCUUCCUGAGACAGAGCUUGAACUGGUUCUUUUUCAACUUCAGCCCUUUACGCUAUUACAACUAAUCCCCAGUGGAAAUAUUUCUUUUCCUUUCAUUACUUUUUGUGCGAAUAUUUAUACAGUUAUCUCGCUGUUUCCUUUAAUUUGUAUCCCUUUAGACCAAAUAAAUUUAGUUGCUGUCAUCUUGCUUUCAAAGUUGUAUUCUUAAGUAAUAAAGCAACGUUAAAUAUAGUUGGAAACAGACAACAUGAUGCACCUGAGGCUUCACAAUAAUUCAUGCUUUUGGACACAAUAGUGUCCAUUUUACUAAGACCAGCAAUACACUGCUGUGAAUGAGUCCCUUGUCAGGAGUUUUUGAGCAUUUGAAAUAACAGCUGUCUUUUAAAAUAAUUACGUGUGCGUGGCGUAAAAGCCUAUGUUUGAGAUUUUAUGUAAAUUCUCCAUCCUGUUUUAAAAGUAAUUACAGUGAGAACUUGGAUAUUUAAUUUUUAAACACUGAAUUAAUUUUUUUUUCCUUUUUCUUGUUUGAGCACCGUGCAAUAGCUUGGAAACUCCUGUGACAUCUGACAAGGGACUUCACGGUUCCUGAUGGAACGUGUUGCACGCUCCCUCACAUCCUGCUCUGGCAACAGUAACGCCAUUCAUCCUCCAGCAAGUGGGGCUGGGAGGAAGUCCAGGUUUAUCGCUCUUUUCCUGGGGGGAUUGGAAGGUUCAGGAAAUUAUGGGAUUUAGAGAUCCUUAACUUCUAAAGUAUUUGCUUGAACUGCUCGUAACUGAGCAAUUCAAUGUGCCGCAUAUAUUUUCAAAGACUCUUGCUUACAAUUUGUGUAUUAAAUGGUAUUCUGCAGUAGGCUUUUUCGCUGGCUUACCUGGAAAAAUAGUGUAGAAGUUAAAGAUGGAAUUCCAAGAAUUUGGCAGAAAUUGGCUCCUGUGCAAUUAUAGUAUAUCAAUUGCUAUUUGAUGUACACACUGUACUGCAAGUCAUUGCCUGGUAGUGUAUGCAGGCCUUCCAUUAGCUUCUCUUUGGAGCUACUCUUGAAAUGAAAAGUGGAUGCGAUGAGCACUGGAGGUUUAUCACCAAUUUCUCUUUGAAGAUCUUGACUGCCACUGGUUAAAACUUCUAAGUAAACUUCGGCAGCGUUAUUGAGAUGAUUACACUGGCACUGACUAAUAUUUCCAAUGGUUUGACCAGUAAUUUGAGCUGUGCAAACUCAUGCUUUUGGCUCCAAGCAUUGGGUAUUUUAAAGCAGGCUCACAAUGAGUGAUAGGAAGUUACCUUUCCCAGGUAACACUCUAGACACUUUUUGCCUAUAUACUUAGUUUAAAUUUACUAAGCAAGUAAGCAAUAAAAUAAGGUCCAUAGGGGUAUAUAUAACCAGAGUUGCUUGAAUUUACUGCCAAGAGAUGCAUGAUGAGUAUGAUUAAGAGGCACUUUAUGCUGACUUUCUAAUAACUCUCUGCUAAAAUAUGUACUUCAGACAGUUCUGUCAGCUUUAUUGUUACUUUCUAAUUUUGGUCUAAAGAUUUUUAUCAGAUGUGAUUUUUCCCUUUAGGGAUUAUAGGAUGCAUAAAUUUUUGAAGAUGAGAGAGUUCCUGUGAUUCAUUCCUGGGCUCCAGUGGCCCUGUCUGGACAUCUGGGAUACCUCAGAGAAUCUCAGCGGCACUGGAAGCUACUUCACCUUGAAGCUGGAGUCAGAGAAGAGGACUCUGCUCAACCCUGACUUACUCAAUAGCCUUUACUCUUCUCUUGUCUUUUUGAAGAACGGGUUUGUAGGGACAAGCUGAUAGCAGUCCAUUCCACCUUCAGGAAACCAUAUCUGAACGUCUCACAAACACAUCAACCAUCACCAGCUUUCACCCCACCAUCUGAGCGCCAACCUCAUUAAAUCUCAGGACUGCAUAAAGGAAUACUGAUGCUGGAAGGAGGUUUAAAUCAUAUAUUGGUGGAUAGCUGACGGCACUGAGAGCCUGUGGUCUGUGAACAUACUGAAUUAUCAAGCUCCUUAAAGAAGUAAUGAAUACUGCUCAUACUAUCUGCAACAAGCAUUCCUUUGUAAAACAGAUGAAAGAGCACACCAAAGCCAUGAUAGUGGAGCUGUGUCUGCUGAAAAAACAGUGCUGAGGAUGAUUUCUCCUACUCGACACUUUUAGACCUAAAACUAUGCUGUGGGAUUUGGUUUUGGUUUGUUUGCUUGCUUGCUUUUGGCAUGCUCUCAGAACUACAGAUUAUUUGGCAGCUGAAGGCCAGCUAUGAGUUGUGUUGCAGGGUGACACAUUUCAUGGAAAUUUAAUGCAAAUAGCAAUCAUUCUCAUCAGGAGCAGAAACAGGAGAUCUCUCGCCUUUCUAGCAACUGCAGACACCUGCAUGAGAGUGAACUGCAUGAGAGUGAAUUGCUUGUGUCAAGCCAGCUGCCUUACAAAACAUCCAGCACAAUGGAUGCUUUUUACGACCAACAAACUUAAAAUUACAGCUCUUGUAUGCCUGGAAACCUUUAUUUCAUUUUCAUACUGUUUCCUUUGAAGAAUUUAUUAAUGCAUGCAAACAUGUAGCGUGUUCUUUUAACCUGUGUUUGCUGCAAUGUUUACAUUAUCUCCUGAUCUUAACCUGUAGCUUCCCAUUACGAAGACAUGUUACCAUAAAACACCACAAGGCAAAAAAAUGCCAUUGUUUUAAUGUUCUGCAAGUGUGCUACAAGUAAACUGUGCUGUACUGAACUCGGUCAAAAUACUCAAUGCAUUCUGAGCACACUACCACCAAUAUAUUGGUGGCCCACUUUGCCACACGCAGAAGGACAAUGAUGUGCUUAUUGACUCAUCUCUUUAUUCUGAACAGAGGGAACUCACUUGGAUGCCACUGGUCCAUUCAGCCCGGCCAAACACUGGUUUAAAAAACAGUGAUGUCUUUCCCAAGCACAUCAGAGGCUGCCUGUACUGUACAGAGGCUGCAAAGGGUUCAGGCUGUACUACGGGAUGUUACAAAGAUAAGCAAGCUGAUUUUGGAAUAUUGCACACACUUACCGUAUUCAGAUGAUUUUAGUUACUGCACCAGACUCCUAAAGUGAAUAUUCUUUAGGAUUACUUGUUAAGGCAUAACUCAGCUUGCCCAUAUCAGAAGAGUUUUCUAUACUUUGUUCACUCUUCAGCAUCACCUGCAGUAGUAUUACAGCUCUUCAACUUGCCACCUUGCAUGCUCCAUUCAGGUGACAAGAACACUUAAUGGCACUGAGCAGAUAAAGGGCUGGAGGGCUUUUACAGGCUCUACUAAAGUGCUUUCUUCAGACUAGAAGUGCACAAUACCACGGUGAUAAGGCUGUCCUGUGCUGAUCUAAGGAAGCCUCUGAUAAGGAAUAUAAUAGGAGCAAUAGGUAAGAUUAAAAAAAAAAAAACUUUCAUUCCAAAAACUGUGUAUCUGUGUAUACCAACUGCUUACAGAGUUUUCUCUGAAGCUCAUGUUUGCAAAGUGUUGCAUGCUUCAGCUCCAUCUUAAAUGGUUUCAUGCCACAAACUGUGGGCCAUUUAUUGCUCAUCACUCCAAAGCCAUUGAACUCUUCAGCUGGGCAGUCUGCUCUCUCCAGCCUUCCUACUGAGAAUAAACAAGAAAUUGGCAGGGAUGGGGAGAAGGGGACAUCAAAGAGUGCCAGGAAGGGCCAACACAGAACAGCCCUACCCUAUGCAGCCAGGGACUGGGCUGGUGUUUUAGCACUAUGCACAAUAGUUUAGCUAUGUGAAUCAGCCCACACAGCUGUAAAAAUCACUGGACCCGUGAUAAGAAAAUGAAAGACAGUACUGUUGAUGGUUUCUGGGUUCACUUGUUUGCUUUUAUAUCUCACUCUCUGUAUAGCUGCCUUAAUCACAAGCUAAAAGCCUUGUGAAGGAUCAGCGACCUAAAUAAAAACUGCAUCUCUGAUUAAUUUCACCAGCUUUUUUA